rnacentral:rRNA from 1 species
ACUGAACGCUGGCGGCAGGCCUAACACAUGCGAGUCGAGCGGGGUUUUCGGACCUAGCGGCGGACGGGUGAGUAAUGCGUAGGAAGCUGCCCGAUAGAGGGGGAUACCAGUUGGAAACGACUGUUAAUACCGCAUAAUGUCUACGGACCAAAGUGUGGGACCUUCGGGCCACAUGCUAUCGGAUGCGCCUACGUGGGAUUAGCUAGUUGGUGAGGUAAUGGCUCACCAAGGCGACGAUCUCUAGCUGGUUUGAGAGGAUGAUCAGCCACACUGGAACUGAGACACGGUCCAGACUCCUACGGGAGGCAGCAGUGGGGAAUAUUGGACAAUGGGCGCAAGCCUGAUCCAGCCAUGCCGCGUGUGUGAAGAAGGCCUUCGGGUUGUAAAGCACUUUCAGCGAGGAGGAAGGGUGGUGUGUUAAUAGCACAUCAUUUUGACGUUACUCGCAGAAGAAGCACCGGCUAACUCUGUGCCAGCCGCCGCAGUAAAAC